rnacentral:sRNA from 2 species
AGCAUUAUUACCGCCAUUCCUCAUCUGGCGGGAUAGCACACGGCUGCACCCAAACCCGCCUUAGAGGCGGGUUUU